rfam:Ciona savignyi cont_24930, whole genome shotgun sequence.
GCCUCGAUAGCUCAGUCGGGAGAGCGUUAGACUGAAUAUCUAAAAGUCCCUGGUUCAAUCCCGGGUCGAGGCA